rnacentral:lncRNA from 1 species
CAGAGAGCAAGAGGAAGUGAGCAAGGGAGGUCAUUCGCAAUUCUGUCACUCCUAAAUUUGUCUGAACCUUUUUGGAAGGCAUUUGUAUUUCCUGCCAGCACCACCUCUUGGGGGUGAUGAAUUCCAAUAAGUUUCAAUCCGUUUAUUACUCACUGUGAGAGAAAUUGCUUCCUUUUAUGUCUGGAACUAAACCUGGAUCACAUUUCACAGGAUAUCCCCUAGUCACAGAGUUUUGGAAUCUGACCUGGAGGCAAAGGUAUGGAUGAGAUCACAUAGCAAGGAGAUUGCUGCUGAGAAGGAGUCAAAGCCUGGGUUUUACUUGUGGCCUUGCUGCUACACCAACUUUACUGACAUGCCAUUCUGGGAUAGUCUUUUCUCUCUGAGGCUUCAAGAGAAGAUGAGAAUACAUUCCAUCCCUACCUCUUGGAGUCAUUGUGAGGACUCAGAUGAAGUGCAGCAUCACGCAACAGAACUCAGAUGCCCUCACUGCAUCUCAAAUGCACUCAGAGAAAGCAUGGAGACACAUGCUGUUUCGGCACUUUCCCCAAGAUCAGAGAGUUAUAGGAGCUGGAGCUGGAUAGAAGCCUGGUGUACACCUCUCUGACUAUUGCUUCACUGGGCCACCUGGCAUCCUGUGGAGGGGCUUCUGAGCACCUGUAAUCUGAUGGAGAGCAUGGCAGAGGCAGCUGGAUGCUAGACACUGAGGAGACACCUGAGUCUGACAAGUGGAAAGAGAUGUGUGUGGGGAAAGGAGAUCAGGCAAAGGCUCCGCAGUAGGAAGGCCAGAGUGGCCCCUGAGACCACAGGAAGAAAAGGGAAGCAAUGCUGGACAGCCGGCCAGCUCCUGGGCUGUGGGGCCAGCAGCCAUUAGAGACAGUCAGAGUAGAGGACCCUUAGACCCCACCAGACCCUGCAGAGGAUGAAACAGAAGGAUGCAAAGAGAUUUGUCCUCUUAAGAGAGGAAACAAAUACAAAUCACAAUGAAAUGCCACUUUCCUGCAUCGGAUUAACGAAUACUCGAAAGCUUAAUACUACUUAGUGUUGGCCAGGACUUUCCUUUUGCACAAUUUUGAUGGGCGAGUCAAUUGGGAAAGUGUUUGUGAGUGCAGUUUGGCAAUAUGUGUGUAUCUACAUUUUAAAUGCACAUACUUUUUGGUCCAGAAAAAGUCCCCUGAGGAUACACAUAUACCUGCAGGAUAAAUGCACACAUACAUAUAUUUAGGGUUGGCAUUUUUACAAACAGAAAAUUAAAAAUGAUCUUCAUCAGUAGGUUAAGCAAAUAAAUUAUGAUAAUACAAACUAGGGAAUACUGUGGCUUCGUAUUACUCUUAAAAUAAAACCCCAAGCCCUUUCCCAUGGCCUAUAAGGCCUGGGAUGAUUUGGUCCCUUCCCCGUUCUCACCCUAAUUUUCCACUGCUCUUUCUCUCCUCCUGCUCCAGUUCCUAGAGGCUAUAGCUGUUCCACAGACCAAGGCAGUUCCACCCUUAGGGCCUUUGCUCCUGCAGUUUCUCCUUCUUGGAAGGUUUUCUCCCCCAGAUAUUAAUACGACUGUCUCCUCACUCUAUUUAUACCUCUGUUCAAAUAUCAACAUGUGGUGAACAGCUUCGAAAAUGACCCUUAACGACCUGCCCUCCUGGUAUGGAUUCCCUCCCUUCUAGUGUGAGCUGGACCUAGUGACUUACUAAUAAUGAAUAGAAUAUUUUAAAAGGGGGGAUUUCACUUCUGAGAUCUUAUAACAGAAUACCAUGACUUCAUCUUGCAUGCUCUUUCUCUCUCCCUCUGUCUUCCUCUCCCUGUCAUUCUUGCUUGUGAGUAAGCAGGCUGCCAUGCUGUGAGCUGCCCUAUGGAGAAGUCCACAUGGCAAGGAACUGAGGGAUACCUUCAGCCAACAGCCAAUGAGGAACUGAUGCUCCCAGAGAACAGCCUGUAGGAAACUAAUUCCUGCUAACAACCUUCAGAUGACUGCAGGUCUGGCUGGCAACUCAACUGAAGCCUGAGAGAGAUCCUGAAGCAGCGGGUGCAGCUAAGCCUCUGCUGGAUUCCCAUUAGACAGAAACUGUGAGUCAUGAAUACUGUUGUUUUAAACACUAAGUCUUGGGGUAAUUUGAAACACAGCGAUAGACCACUGAUACAGAAUCCCUGGGAGAAGUGUUCUAUGACUAUGCAAUUUAAAACAGUAUUCUUUGUUGCACAGUGACCCCUUAACCUGCUUUAUUUUAUUUCAUAGCAUGUAUUUCUUGGACAUUCUUUGAUAUCUUUUUGUUUGUGUAUUUCUUUCUCUUUACUAGAAUGUAAAGUUUUAUGAGGACAAAACUCUUGCUUAUCAUUGUGUUCCCUCGUGCCUAGAAGAGUGCCUGACAUUAAGUGGGUGCUCACGUUUGCAUCACCAGUUUUCCAUGAGAGCACCAAGCCUGUGAUUUCAGUAGAAGCUUAACUGCUCGUCUUUGAGGCACCAAAUCUGAAAAGCGAUCUUCCUGAAGACCAUGCUAAGGCAAGAACAUCCAUAUAAGGGAGAAUUCCUGAAAGUGUUCUAACACUUCAGUGGAAACUCAUCAAUGCUCUGUACCCAGAAUAAUCCCAUUUCGGAGGGUGCAUGGAUGGGGCAGAUGCAUGAUGUGCCCUGAGGAGCAGAGGAAACAUGGGCUUGGGUUGUGAAGGAUCUCAGAGAAGCUCUCCUGGACUGGCCCAAAUGUCUCAAACUUUAAUGUGCACAUAAAUCUAUUAAAAUGCAGCUUCCACUUCAACACAUCUGGAGUGAGACCAGGUAUUCUGCAUUUUUAACAAACUCUGGUGUAUGCUGGCGGAUGUCUGGAGUGCUGCUGGUCCAUGGACCGCAUGUUGAGUAGCAAGGCCCU